UACGGAGGGUGCGAGCGUUGUCCGGAAUCACUGGGCGUAAAGGGCGCGUAGGCGGCCUGAUAAGUAGAGGGUGAAAUCCUGCGGCUUAACCGCAGGGCUGCCUUCUAAACUGUCAGGCUAGAGCACAGUAGAGGCAGGUGGAAUUCCCGGUGUAGCGGUGGAAUGCGUAGAGAUCGGGAAGAACAUCAGUGGCGAAGGCGGCCUGCUGGGCUGUUGCUGACGCUGAGGCGCGACAGCGUGGGGAGCAAACAGG
rnacentral:rRNA from 1 species